rnacentral:miRNA from 1 species
UUAAAACAAAGCAUCGCGAAGGCCCGCGGCGGGUGUUGACGCGAUGUGAUUUCUGCCCAGUGCUCUGAAUGUCAAAAGUGAAGAAAU